CACAAAUACAUGGAAGCUGAAGAACACACUCAUAAACCACCAUUGAGGCAAAGAGGAAAACAAAAUGGAAUUUAAAAUAUAUCUCAAGACAAAUGAAAACAAAAACACAACAUACCAAAACACAUGAGAUAGGAUGCAGUAAAAGUAGCACGAAGAAGAAAAUUUAUAGUGAUAAAUGCCUACAUUAAAAAAUAAAAAAAAUCUCAAGUAAACAACAUAACUUUACACCUCAAGAAAUUUAAAAGAUAGAACAAACCAAACCCAAUGUAAGCGGAAGGAAGGAAAUACUAAAGAUUAAGCAGAAUAAAUCAAAUAGAGAACAGAAAAAAAAAAUCAACAAAACUAAGAGUUGGCUUUUUGAAAAAAUAAACAAAAUUGACAAUUAGAUAAAGAAAAAAGAGAGAAGAUCCAAAUAAAUAAAAUCAGAAAUUAAAGAUGAGACAUUACAACAGAUGCCUCAGAUAUAAAAAGGAUCAUAAGGGACUAUUAUAAACAAUUAUAUGCUAACAAAGUGGAUAACCUAGAAGAAAUGAAUAAAUUCCUAGAAACACACACCCUCCCAACACUGAAUCAAGAAGAAACAGAAAGCACGAACAGGUGAAUAACAAAUAAGGAGAUAUAAGCAGUGAUCCAAAACCUCCCAACAGAGGAAAUCGCAGAACUAGAUGUCUUCAUGAGUGAAUCUGUCAAAUAUGCAAAGAAGCAUUAACACCAAUCAUUCCUAAACUCUACCAAAAAAUUGAGGAAGAGAGAAUACUUCCAAACUAAUUUUAUGAGGCCAGCCCAAAGCCAGACAAACACACUGCAAGAUAAUAAUUAACUACAGGCCGAUAUCCCUGAUGAACACAGAUGCAGAAAUCCUCAGGGAAAUACUAGCAGACCAAAUUCAACAGGACAUUGAAAAGAUUAUGCAUUAUGAUACAGUGGAUUUAUCCCUGGGAUGCAAGGAUGGUUCCACAUAGACAAACCAAUCAAUAUGACACACUGUACCAACAGAAUGAAAGAUAAAAAUCACAUGAUCAUCUCAAUACAUGCAGAAAAAGCAUUUGACAAAAUUCAACAUCUUUUCAUGAUAAAACUCUCAACAAAACAGAUAUAGAGGAACAUACCUCAACACAAUAAAGGCCAUAUAUAGAAAGCCCACAGCUAAUGUCAUAAUCAACGGGGAAAAACUGAAAGCUUUUCCUCUAAGAUCCACUACAAGACAAGGAUGCCCACUCUCACCACUUCUAUUCAACAUGGUAUUGGAAGUUCCAGCCAGACUAAUUAGUCAAGGAAAAAAAAAGUCAUCCAAAUCAGAAAGGAAUAAGUAAAAUGAUCACUAUUUGCAAAUGACGUGAUCAUAUAUAUAGAAAACUCUUAGGACUCAUCAAAAAAAACUAUUAACUAAUAAAUGAAUUGAGUAAAGUUAUGGGAUACAAAGUCAACAUACAAAAAUCAACAGUUUUUCUAUA
rnacentral:lncRNA from 1 species